UACCAGACUCCUACGGGAGGCAGCAGUGGGGAAUAUUGCACAAUGGGGGGAACCCUGAUGCAGCGACGCCGCGUGGGCGAGGAAGUAUUUCGGUAUGUAAAGCCCUAUCGGCAGGGAAGAAGAAAUGACGGUACCUGAAUAAGAAGCACCGGCUAAAUACGUGCCAGCAGCCGCGGUAAUACGUAUGGUGCAAGCGUUAUCCGGAUUUACUGGGUGUAAAGGGAGCGUAGACGGCAGUGCAAGUCUGGAGUGAAAGGCGGGGGCUCAACCCCCGGACUGCUCUGGAAACUGUACGGCUGGAGUGCAGGAGAGGUAAGUGGAAUUCCUAGUGUAGCGGUGAAAUGCGUAGAUAUUAGGAGGAACACCAGUGGCGAAGGCGGCUUACUGGACUGUAACUGACGUUGAGGCUCGAAAGCGUGGGGAGCAAACAGGAUUAGAUACCCCGGUA
rnacentral:rRNA from 1 species